CAUAACACUAUGUCCUAUAUCACAUUUCAUUCACAUUCAAGUCCAAUAGUCCUCUCUACAUUUAUGAGAGGUAUGCUCUCAUUUUUUCUUUUGGCUGUAUAGAUUAGGCCUCAACAGAAAGCAUUUUGGUUAUCAGUGUGUGCUUGGUCUUGCAUAAUGCAACUUAGGCAACACAUGAGAGACAGACUGCUGAGAGAGGGCAAAUUCUUAGGAUAAAGAAAACAUUCAAAUGACUGAUGAAAAAAUAUUCUAUCAUGUCACCGUUGACAGGUCUUUUGUCAGCCUUGUAAUGCACUGCCACUUACAUAAACAAUCACAAAGCUCUGACAUAACAACGCACCGGAGUUAUAGGACAGUUGCCUGUGUGAACCUUUCACUCAUUGAACUUGGACUGCGUAACAACAGUCACUUCCAUCUGCGCUGAGACAGCAAUGUACUUGAUUGACUUUUAUGUAAGCUAAACACACAAACUGUCACUUAGUUCGAUGAGUUUUUUUGCGAUUAAAAUAAUUGAAACGACAGUGCAUUGGUUGGAAUAGUUUUCCAUUCAGAAGUACAAACCACAAUUCCAAUGAAGUUGGGACGUUGCGUGAAACGCAUAAUGAUAUGAUAUGCAAAUCAUUUUCAAAACACAACUGAACACAUGACAAAGACAUGACAUGAACUUCAGAAGCAAGACCCAAAAUCAACAUCAAAUACCCGUGAUUUUCAAUCCUCGGCAGCAUUGCAUGACAAACUGGCAUGAUAAUGGAAAGGAUACCACAUGGGUUCAGGAACACUUUGAAAAAGCGUUCGCAGGUAACAGUCGCUACAGUACAUUACAAUCAUGGCUGUCGUAUAACUCCCAGGCCAGGGAGGAAAAAGGAUCAUCAGGAAUGUUAGCGGAAAUUUCAAAGACUAGAAUCUGUGAUGGUAAAGGUGUUAUGAGCAUCUAACAUAUGGGGAAUGUUUACAGAUUUGAAGGCACCAUUAAUACCGAAAGAUACAUACAGGCUAUGAAGCAACAGAUGCGACUAUCCAAGCAGGAUGGCUUUGUGAUAAAAGAGUGUGAGUUACAGACUGGGCUGCCAGCAGUCCAGACAUGUCUCAUACAGUGAAACUCCUCUAGAACGAAACCUACAUGGGCGAAAAUACCCUAGUGUGAAAAACUUUUAAUGCAGUAACACCAUUCCCACUCUCCUGCCCCCCAUACAACGGGAAAAAAACAUGUUGCGUUAUACAAAAUCUUUUUUUCUGCUCUUGCCUCGCGACGAAAUUCACUACAACAAAGUCUUAUCCAACAGCGACCUCUAGUGCUUCGUUCGGAAACGGCAAGAGCAACCACCACACUGGUUUACACAUGCGCAGUAGUCCAGGAAGUAUUUAUUAUUGUUAAUUUCAGACGCAGCAAGUUGUAUUGCUAAAAUGGCCACAAAACGGACCUUUUGGAUGUCAAGCAGCUAAGACAAGAGCUCCGACGCUGGAAGAGAGGGUAAAAGUGAUCAAAAUGAAAGACGGAGAAAG